rnacentral:rRNA from 1 species
AUACGGAGGGUGCAAGCGUUAUCCGGAUUCACUGGGUUUAAAGGGUGCGUAGGCGGGCAGGUAAGUCAGUGGUGAAAUCCUAGAGCUUAACUCUAGAACUGCCAUUGAUACUAUCUGUCUUGAAUAUUGUGGAGGUAAGCGGAAUAUGUCAUGUAGCGGUGAAAUGCUUAGAUAUGACAUAGAACACCUAUUGCGAAGGCAGCUUACUACGCAUAUAUUGACGCUGAGGCACGAAAGCGUGGGGAUC